CUGCCAUGAUGAUAUUCAUUGAGAUUAAAGAAAGCAGCUAAUGCUUAAUGUUCUAUUGGCAAUCAUGUCAAUACUGAGCGGUUACCUGAGCAG
rfam:Beta vulgaris subsp. vulgaris Bvchr6.sca005.con0158.1, whole genome shotgun sequence.